UACGGAGGGUGCGAGCGUUAAUCGGAAUUACUGGGCGUAAAGCGCACGUAGGCGGUUAGGCAAGUCGGGUGUGAAAGUCCUGGGCUCAACCUGGGAAUUGCAUUCGAAACUACCUGACUCGAGUAUGGGAGAGGGAAGCGGAAUUUCCGGUGUAGCGGUGAAAUGCGUAGAUAUCGGAAGGAACACCAGUGGCGAAGGCGGCUUCCUGGACCAAUACUGACGCUGAGGUGCGAAAGCGUGGGGAGCAAACAGG
rnacentral:rRNA from 1 species